rnacentral:misc_RNA from 1 species
GAUGAAGAACGUAGCGAAAUGCGAUAAGUAAUGUGAAUUGCAGAAUUCAGUGAAUCAUCGAAUCUUUGAACGCACAUUGCGCCCGCCAGUAUUCUGGCGGGCAUGCCUGUUCGAGCGUCAUUUCAACCAUCAAGCCCUGCUUGCGUUGGGGUCCUGCGGCUGCCCGCAGGCCCUGAAAACCAGUGGCGGGCUCGCUAGUCACACCGAGCGCAGUAAUACAUCUCGCUUUGGGCGUGCGGCGGGUUCUUGCCGUUAAACACCCCCUUUUUACCAAGGUUGACCUCGGAUCAGGUAGGAAUACCCGCUGAACUUAAGCAUAUCAAUAAGCGGGAGGA